rnacentral:rRNA from 1 species
GAUGAACGCUGGCGGCGUGCCUAAUCCAUGCAAGUCGAGCGAACAGACGAGGAGCUUGCUCCUCUGACGUUAGCGGCGGACGGGUGAGUAACACGUGGAUAACCUACCUAUAAGACUGGGAUAACUUCGGGAAACCGGAGCUAAUACCGGAUAAUAUAUUGAACCGCAUGGUUCAAUAGUGAAAGACGGUUUUGCUGUCACUUAUAGAUGGAUCCGCGCCGCAUUAGCUAGUUGGUAAGGUAACGGCUUACCAAGGCGACGAUGCGUAGCCGACCUGAGAGGGUGAUCGGCCACACUGGAACUGAGACACGGUCCAGACUCCUACGGGAGGCAGCAGUAGGGAAUCUUCCGCAAUGGGCGAAAGCCUGACGGAGCAACGCCGCGUGAGUGAUGAAGGUCUUCGGAUCGUAAAACUCUGUUAUUAGGGAAGAACAAAUGUGUAAGUAACUAUGCACGUCUUGACGGUACCUAAUCAGAAAGCCACGGCUAACUACGUG